rnacentral:rRNA from 1 species
UACGUAGGGCGCAAGCGUUAUCCGGAAUUAUUGGGCGUAAAGAGCUCGUAGGUGGUUCGGUAAGUCAGGUGUGAAACCUCCAGGCUCAACCUGGAGACGCCACUUGAUACUGCUGUGACUGGAGUCCGGUAGGGGAGGCGUGGAAUUCCGUGGUGUAGCGGUGAAAUGCGCAGAUAUCAGGAGGAACACCAGCGGCGAAGGCGGCGCUCUGGGCCGGUACUGACACUGAGGAGCGAAAGCGUGGGGAGCAAACAGG